rnacentral:rRNA from 1 species
UUUUAUUGAAGAAUUAUUUUAGUUGUUGUAUGUUUUUGAUUUAAUUUUUUAAAUGAUAGUUUAUUUGUACUGUAAGGGGUUGAUUUUGGUUUAAAUGUUUUUUUGGAAGUAGAUUUUGUUUGUCGUACCUUGUGUAUCAGGGUUCAUUAAAUUUUAUUAUUUAUUUUUAUUUCCCGAUUUAAAAGGAGUUAAUGACUUGUUUUAUUUACUGUUUCAUUAGUAUUAAUAACUGGUUAUUGGCAGUGAAAUGUUAUUCGUCUUUUAAGGUUUCUGGUUUUUCAAGAAAUGAAUUCAAUUCAUGUAUUUUAUUUAAUUUCUGUUGUUGGUUAUAUUUAUUUUUAUUUUAUGCUAAGAUUAAGGGGGAUUAGCUCCUUAUUUUAUGAUUAUAAUUUAUUUGAUUUAAUUUAGUUUUGUGGAUUUUAUAGUGAUUUUCAAUUUGAUUAUGUUAAAAUUUUAUUUAUUCUUUUUCUUUAUUUUGAUUUAUUUAAUUUAUUUAUUGGAAUGUUUGCUUGUCUUUGUUUUGUAUAGUAAUUAUUAUGUAAUUAGUAAAUUUUUCUUUUUGUGUUAUUUAAUUUUGAUGUUAAUUCCUUUUUAGGAAUUCGGCAAAGUUUUAUGCCCGCCUGUUUAACAAAAACAUCUUUUCUUGUUAGUUUCUGAAGUAUGGCCUGCCCACUGACUUUUUGUUGAAGGGCCGCGGUAUUUUGACCGUGCAAAGGUAGCAUAAUCAUUAGUUCUUUAAUUGUGAUCUGGUAUGAAUGGCUUGACGAGGUAUAAGCUGUCUUAAUGGGAUUUUUGUUGAAUUUAGUUUUUGAGUUAAAAUUCUUAGAUGUUUUUAUGGGACGAGAAGACCCUAUAGAGUUUUACAUUUAGUUUUAUUAUUUAUUAAGUGUUUGUUUAUUUUAUAUAGUGAGCUGAAUGUUUUGUUGGGGUGAUGGGAGGAAUUUUUUUAACUCCUCUUUGUUUUAUUAUACUUAUAUGUAUUUUUUUGAUCCAUUUAUUUUGAUUAUAAGAUUAAAUUACCUUAGGGAUAACAGCGUUAUCUUCCUUGAGAGUUCUUAUUGGCGGGGAGGUUUGCGACCUCGAUGUUGGAUUAAGAUGAAUUUUCGGUGCAGGAGCUGAAGAUGAUUAGGUCUGUUCGACCUUUAAAAUCUUACAUGAUCUGAGUUCAGACCGGCGUGAGCCAGGUUGGUUUCUAUCUAUAAAUUUUUAUUAUACCUUAGUACGAGAGGACCGGGUAUUUGGAAUAAUUUUUUCUAUUGGACUAUUAUUAAUAUUUUU